rnacentral:snRNA from 1 species
AUAAAUCUUCACAGGGAAGAUACCAUGAUCACACAGGUGGUUUUCCCGAGGUGAGGCUUAUCUACUGCAUGCCGGAUGCGUUGACCCCAGCAAUUUCCCCAAAUGUGGGGAACUCAACUGCAUAAUUUGUGCCAGUGGGGAAAUGCAUUUGCUCUUUUCCA